rnacentral:lncRNA from 1 species
AAAGAUUGAAGAAACAACGGAGAUGAGUAAGAAUAAUUAAAUGGUUUAAUUAUUUAUGGCAAUGAUUAAUUAAUAUGUUAAUUAAUCAAACGAAUAAGUUCGUUAAAAGACCACGGGUUAGUUUUGGGCCUCAAGGCCCAAUGGGCUUUGAACGUCAAGCCCAUUGACUUAAGUUGUAUGACAACUUAAUGACUAAUAAUUCACAAAGGCCCUAAAAGCCCAAUGAAACCCAAUGGCCGGCCAUUUAGAGAUGGAGUGAGUUUUGGACUUAUUUACAAGUUUGCCACUCCAAUGAAUUAAGGUAUAAAUGUGACUUUAUAGCCAAAAU